rnacentral:rRNA from 1 species
UACGUAGGUGGCAAGCGUUAUCCGGAUUUACUGGGUGUAAAGGGCGUGUAGGCGGGAGUGCAAGUCAGAUGUGAAAACCACGGGCUCAACCUGUGGCCUGCAUUUGAAACUGUACUUCUUGAGUGCUGGAGAGGCAGACGGAAUUCCUAGUGUAGCGGUGAAAUGCGUAGAUAUUAGGAGGAACACCAGUGGCGAAGGCGGUCUGCUGGACAGCAACUGACGCUGAGGCGCGAAAGCGUGGGGAGCAAACAGG